rnacentral:rRNA from 1 species
GACGAACGCUGGCGGCGUGCCUAAUACAUGCAAGUAGAACGCUGAAGAGAGGAGCUUGCUCUUCUUGGAUGAGUUGCGAACGGGUGAGUAACGCGUAGGUAACCUGCCUUGUAGCGGGGGAUAACUAUUGGAAACGAUAGCUAAUACCGCAUAACAAUGGAUGACACAUGUCAUUUAUUUGAAAGGGGCAAUUGCUCCACUACAAGAUGGACCUGCGUUGUAUUAGCUAGUAGGUGAGGUAAUGGCUCACCUAGGCGACGAUACAUAGCCGACCUGAGAGGGUGAUCGGCCACACUGGGACUGAGACACGGCCCAGACUCCUACGGGAGGCAGCAGUAGGGAAUCUUCGGCAAUGGGGGCAACCCUGACCGAGCAACGCCGCGUGAGUGAAGAAGGUUUUCGGAUCGUAAAGCUCCGUUGUAAGUCAAGAACGGGUGUGAGAGUGGAAAGUUCACACUGUGACGGUAGCUUACCAGAAAGGGACGGCUAACUACGUG